rnacentral:miRNA from 1 species
CACAACUUGUUAACAAGCUUGCUACAAGCCUGUUGAGGAGACAUCUUGUUGACAAGUUGUUGGAACAGCACUGUCACAACUUGUUAACAAGCUUGCUACAAACCUUUUCAGGAGACAUCUUGUUGAAAAGUGGUUGGAACAGCAUUGUCACAACUAAACAAUGUUGUUAUUUUAUCAAGUUGCUACAAGGUUGUCAGUUACAACUUGUCAAGAAGAUAUGUUCGCAGCAGGAUUGUAGCAAGCUUGUCAACAUAUUGUA